UACUCCAGGGGCCGCAGCUUUGAGUAGCAGACAAUAGCCUCGGUUGCUGCUGGCUUGGAUCAACCCCUUCAUAACCCAAUCAUCAUCGACCUUAUCGGCCAACUCGAUCCUGUUCCCUGAAUACGGAAGUUGAGAGUCUCAUGUUACAGUUUCUGUCAGGUCGAGAUUUGUGCAGGAAAAGGAUACCUGGGUUCAGACUCUUGUGGCUCCAGCUGGAAAAAACCUUUGGUCUUCCCAGGGCUUCAGGGAAAACUCAAGUGAUGCCCACACAAGAGGAACUUGAGGAACUGAUCUCUCCUGUGCAGGAUGGAGAGGAACCUUUGAGACAUGACUGAUAAGGAUCCUAGUUUUAAAGGAGGUUUUCAGGAACAUGCAGUCAAGGAGUUAGGGACACACCAUCUAGAAAGAGGCCCAGUUCCCUCGGGGCCCCUCUCUGUGUCCCUCCUCUGGGCCUGGAGCCUGGUGCAAGCUGUUAGAAUUUCCUGGAAGGUCAUCGAUGUGUCUCUCUGUGUAUUGCCUGCCCUCACAGUUCCAGUGGCCGUCCUCUGUCCUCUGCCUGAAAGGGAAGCCCAUUACCUCCUGGAGAGGGUCACAGCUCAGCGGUUAAGGGGACAGGCGUUCCAGCUAAAUUGUCCAAGGCCAAAUCUUUGCUCUGCCACUUAGACGAAUAACUUCAGAGAAGUGUUUGCAAAGCUGAGAGUGACCUGGUAAAACGAUCAAGACAAGACUGGUCAGAUUUGACAGGCCAAACGUGGAUGCGGGUAUUUUUGGAGUGGGAAGCCCACGUUAAAAACAAACAUUUCCGGAACUAAGAAAUUCAAUUGAAAAGCCGGUUCUAGAAAAUGCUCACUCAUCAAAUAUUUAGUAACCACUCACUUUGAGCCAGGCACUGUGCUGGGAGUAGGGGAUACGGGUAUGAAAAGGUAUCAGCUUCUAUCUUUGAGGAAUUCGCAAUCAGACGCUGUGACAGAUAUCUCAGGGGGUGCAAACAUAAGAAAGAGAAAUGAAACCAUGUCUAUUUCAGGCACCCAGAAGAGGUGGUACCUGACUUCAUCAUUGUAGGAGGAGUCAUCAGAGGCUCCCACCAAUCAAUUGGGUGCCUAUUGAGUGAGUGCUCAGUGAUUAUUGAGUGAUCAUGUGCUCAGUGAGUCUAUAAGACAGGGCUUCUGCGGUCCAGCACCCUAUAAGAUAAUUGGAGAGACCAGACUGAAAUAUGAGAGACAAGAUAAGAUAACACAAGAUGAGAUAAGAGGUGAUAAGUUUGUUAUUAAGCGACAAGCACUUUUAGACAUAGCACAGAUCACUCAAGGCUGGAGUCAUCUAAAAGGGCAUCCUGAAAGAAGCUGCGCUGGAACAAAGCCUCUUGAGAGGAGGUUACUCUGGAGCAGGCGGAGGGAAAUGGGGAGACUAUUCCACAUGGGGUGGGUGGGAACGAGAACUAGAGCUGGGAAUGGGCAGUAAUGGACUUGGAACAAUGAGAGGGUCGACUGAGCUGAGAUGGAGUAUGUUUGUGAUGAAUAAUAGGAAAUAAGGUAGGGUCAACCCAACUGCAUCGGAAGAUACAUCUUGGCUAAAGCAAGAGAGAAGGUUAGAUGAGGAGCGCAGGCUAGAUGAGAGAAAGCAUUGAACAGCCAAGCUGAAGGACGGCACAGUAGACACACAAGCACAGCAGGAGGAGGUGGAAGACUCGAGUUUCGGUCUGGGCUCGGCCACCACCAACUCCAGGAAGCUUUUUAGGCCUCAAAGUCCUCAUCAAGGCUGCAUUAUGACUUUUGUGGGCCCCUGGGCACGUUUGUCUUGGGCCCUUUCCUCCCUAAAAAAAAUUAUGAAAAGUUGUAUUUUACAACUGUGUUGUUACAAGGACAAAUACAUUACUUACAUAUUAAAAUAAAUUCUUUGACCUAAGAAUUCAUUUUUUUCAUAUGAUUUUUAAAUAAAUUAACAUAUUUUUGUGGGUCCCUAAGAGCAUCGUGGGCCCUGCGCCCACCCUAGCUAAUGGCUAGGUUGGCCUGGUCCUCAUCCGCCCCACGGGGAGGUGGAGUGCAGGUGGAUUCUAACUCCUUUCCUCCUUUGGAAAGUGUGUGAGUCACUUCCCAACCUCUCAGUCUGCAUGGGAUGGUUGGGCUGGUACUUUCAACAGCUUAAUAUUUGACCUGAAAACAAUCAUAUGGAAAAAAUAUUCACAGAAAAAGGAAAGAUAAUGAAUUUUUUUGUAAUUUUCAAAUACUAGGUGAAAAUUCUCUUAACUAAAAAACGUGUUCAUCAAAAGAAAAAAAAGAAAUUUCAUUUUUUUAAAAGAAGUAGAUUGAUUUUUUUAAAAGAAAGAUGUGUUCAUUAUAAAAAAACUCAGCACCAAAAGAUGCAAAUAACUUAGAAUCUCCUAUGCCACUUUCACAAGAAAAGAAAUAAAGUCAUAUGUCACAAAAAAAUAAUAGGGUACAGAAACUGAAAUGAGACUGAAGGAAUUGCUGAACUUUGAGUAAACCAUGGUUAAGAAAAUAUGUUUUCACUGCCUCCUCUCUCAUUCUGAUCCACACUUCAAAGUAUCUGGUAUUCAUGCUUUCUAAUUUGUGGUUUGCAGUAACGGCUAUCUCCAUGUUUCAUUGAAGAUAGAUUAUUUUUUUGUCUUUUAUUUCAUCUUUUUGAUAUCAGUGGCUUUGAGGGAGGGGAAUAAAAAUGUCUUUAUUCCACUAUUUUUUAUUUUCGCUUUUCAGCAAUCAUUUUUUU